CAGCCGCCACGGGAAUACGAAGGGGGCUAGCGUUGCUCGGAAUGACUGGGCGUAAAGGGCGCGUAGGCGGUUUGUCGAGUUAGACGUGAAAUUCCCGGGCUUAACCUGGGGACUGCAUUUGAUACUGGCAGGCUUGAGUGUGGAAGAGGGUCGUGGAAUUCCCAGUGUAGAGGUGAAAUUCGUAGAGAUGUGGAGGAACACCAGUGGCGAAGGCGACUCUCUGGUCUGUAACUGACGCUGAGGAGCGAAAGCGUGGGGAGCGAACAGGAUUAGAUACCCCCGUAGUCCCUGUCUCUUAUAC
rnacentral:rRNA from 1 species